GGCCGCGGGCAUUCCAUUCAGGCCUAACACAUGCAAGUCGAACGGAAAGGCCCUCCUUGCAGGGUACUCGAGUGGCGAACGGGUGAGUAACACGUGGGUGAUCUGCCCUGCACUUCGGGAUAAGCCUGGGAAACUGGGUCUAAUACCGGAUAGGACCAUCGUUUAGUGUCGGUGGUGGAAAGUUUUUCAGUGCAGGAUGAGCUCGCGGCCUAUCAGCUUGUUGGUGGGGUAAUGGCCUACCAAGGCGUCGACGGGUAGCCGGCCUGAGAGGGUGGACGGCCACAUUGGGACUGAGACACGGCCCAGACUCCUACGGGAGGCAGCAGUGGGGAAUAUUGCACAACGGGCGCUAGCCUGAUGCAGCGACGCCGCGUGGGGGAUGAAGGCCUUCGGGUUGUAAACUCCUUUCAACCAUGACGAAGCAUUAUGUGACGGUAGUGGUAGAAGAAGCACCGGCUAACUACGUGCCAGCAGCCGCGGUAAUACGUAGGGUGCGAGCGUUGUCCGGAAUUACUGGGCGUAAAGAGCUCGUAGGUGGUUUGUCGCGUCGUCUGUGAAAUUCCGGGGCUUAACUCCGGGCGUGCAGGCGAUACGGGCAUAACUUGAGUGCUGUAGGGGAGACUGGAAUUCCUGGUGUAGCGGUGAAAUGCGCAGAUAUCAUGAGGAACACCGAUGGCGAAGGCA
rnacentral:rRNA from 1 species